GACGAACGCUGGCGGCGUGCUUAACACAUGCAAGUCGAACGGAAAGGCCCUGCUUUUGUGGGGUGCUCGAGUUGCGAACGGGUGAGUAACACGUGAGUAACCUGCCCUUGACUUUGGGAUAACUUCAGGAAACUGGGGCUAAUACCGGAUAGGAGCUCCUGCUGCAUGGUGGGGGUUGGAAAGUUUCGGCGGUUGGGGAUGGACUCGCGGCUUAUCAGCUUGUUGGUGGGGUAGUGGCUUACCAAGGCUUUGACGGGUAGCCGGCCUGAGAGGGUGACCGGCCACAUUGGGACUGAGAUACGGCCCAGACUCCUACGAGAGGCAGCAGUGGGGAAUAUUGCACAAUGGGCGGAAGCCUGAUGCAGCAACGCCGCGUGCGGGAUGACGGCCUUCGGGUUGUAAACCGCUUUCGCCUGUGACGAAGCGUGAGUGACGGUAAUGGGUAAAGAAGCACCGGCUAACUACGUG
rnacentral:rRNA from 1 species